rnacentral:rRNA from 11 species
CCGGAAGGGGAGUGAAAUAGAACCUGAAACCGUGUGCCUACAACAAGUUCGAGCCCGUUCAUGGGUGAGAGCGUGCCUUUUGUAGAAUGAACCGGCGAGUUACGUUAUGAUGCGAGGUUAAGUUGAAGAGACGGAGCCGUAGGGAAACCGAGUCUGAAUAGGGCGCUUUAGUAUCAUGAUGUAGACCCGAAACCAUGUGACCUACCCAUGAGCAGGUUGAAGGUGCGGUAAAACGCACUGGAGGACCGAACCAGGGCAC